CGGACGGGUGAGUAACGCGUGAGAAUCUGCCUUCAGGAUGGGGACAACAGUUGGAAACGACUGCUAAUACCCGAUAUGCAGCGAUGUGAAAGAUUUAUCGCCUGGAGAUGAGCUCGCGUUGGAUUAGCUAGAUGGUGUGGUAAUGGCGCACCAUGGCGACGAUCCAUAGCUGGUCUGAGAGGAUGAGCAGCCACACUGGGACUGAGACACGGCCCAGACUCCUACGGGAGGCAGCAGUGGGGAAUUUUCCGCAAUGGGCGCAAGCCUGACGGAGCAAUACCGCGUGAGGGAGGAAGGCUCUUGGGUCGUAAACCUCUUUUCUCAGGGAAGAACACAAUGACGGUACCUGAGGAAUAAGCAUCGGCUAACUCCGUGCCAGCAGCCGCGGUAAUACGGAGGAUGCAAGCGUUAUCCGGAAUGAUUGGGCGUAAAGCGUCCGUAGGUGGUUUUGUAAGUCUGUGGUUAAAGCGUGGAGCUCAACUCCAUAAGGGCCAUGGAAACUACAAGACUAGAGUGAAGUAGGGGUAGAGGGAAUUCCCAGUGUAGCGGUGAAAUGCGUAGAGAUUGGGAAGAACACCGGUGGCGAAAGCGCUCUACUGGACUUAGACUGACACUGAGGGACGAAAGCUAGGGGAGCGAAAGGGAUUAGAUACCCCUCCUGAAUU
rnacentral:rRNA from 1 species